UCUCCCUUGUGCCGCCCUGCGGUGUCUCCUGUUGUGUCAUGUUAGCAAACAGCUUGCUGGACAUGCUAAAGUAAGGUGGACUUUGUGGCUGUAGGGCGCCAUUACCGAAUAAAUGAAUGUUCCCUUCAUGGAGGAGGAGGAAAAUGCGACGCCAGGAACAAUAUGUUUGAACAAGGAUACAAAAACGUUCCAGCCGGAAGGUGGCAGGACGAAGAGGCAGUGAGUCCCUCAGUCAUUUCGUGUCCAACCUAGCAGGUGUUUAAAUAAGAUGAUUCUUUUUUUGGAAUUUUGCCCAUCUGUCACAACCCUCAUGUGCAAUAUGAACACAUUUAUUUUCCUUUUCGGUGCGUUCUAACAAGAGAAAACGAGGUAGCUAACAAUGCACGCCAUGGGAGGUACCCAGUUUGACACUAAAGCCCUCACAAAAAAUCCUUAAAAACACGCCAACGGUGUUCCAUUUCCAUAAGUGACCUGUACAGUAUAUGAACCAAGCUACAGCGAUAUUGUUAUUGUGGCAGCUAACAGGAAAAACUAUAUUUAUCUGGCGGAGUAACACGGCGCCUCCCUAGCCGCUAGUCUUAGCAUCACUCACAACGCCUCAAGCCACUGCAACGGGACAGACGGAAGACUGGAUACUACUGGCUGUCAGCAUUUUUGACCCGAGGACCGGAAGACACAGCCAUCCCAAUGAGAGAGCACAUCGCAAGUGUCGUCGCUGUUUCUAUGCUUUCUAUGUACUCGUUAAUGCAUGAUCACAGCAUGGAUAGAAAACCAUAAAACCUCGUCAGAGGUUGUUUUAGAGGCUUCAUAGUCGAAAUAGGUAACUUCCAUGACGUGCAAUGUUAGCUGGCUCGCGCUAACUCAUUUUCUCUCGAAAUAUGUAUUCGUUCCACAUAAGAUUGUGGAGGAUGGGCAAAAUGUUUAAAAAAAGUGCAGUUUUCCUUUAUGCACAUAAAAAAAUGUUGUUUUUUUUAAAGUCUUAAUAUUAUGAGAACAAACAAAACAAAAACGUAAUUUUUUGGAAAAUUAGGUUGGGGGAAAAGUUCUAAUAUUAUGGGAAUGAAAAUCAAAAUAUUCCAAAAUGAAAAUUUACAAAGAUUACUUAUGAAAGUUGAAAUAUUUCGGAAAAAAAACAAACACAGCAAAAAUGGGGUGAAAAAAGCUAAGACCAAAGUUGAUAUUAAAAAUAGGCUUUUCCACCUAUCAAAAGAAAAGUUGAGAUGCAUUGUUUUCAUUGACUACGUACGUAUAACGCCUUUGCAUCUCUAUAUGUCUUGUUUUACGUAGAAAAUAUCAAAGUGGGGCCCCGCACACGGCAGAUGGCCCAAGUCCCAGGACAGAAACAGGCCAAGAACAAGCCAAAGUCUGUGGUAUUUUUCAGAAAUAUAUUUUAUAGAUGUCAGAGAUGAAACUUCCAAAGCGUAGGUCCCCAAGAAAUAACAUUUUUCAUUGUUAGAGACGUAGACGGCAAACAAAUUACAAAAAAUAAUCCUCAUAAGAACGUCUUUCCCAUGUACAUGUAAACCAAGACUUGCUCUUGAGCCACAGUGGUUGUGUGUAGGACUGGCCAAGGUGGGUGUGACAAUCAAACGUCCUCCUCCAAACCUUUUCUCCGUUAAAAGCGCAGCAUGAACAGUGCCUGUUUGAAACAUCUUUGAAAGAGGAACAUUCUUUGGGAGGGUCUUUUAUGAACGUAGCAGAGCAAACGCAGUCCAUCCACAGUCUAAGUGCUAAAAUCAGAACCGGAACCAAACGGUCCCAAGUGGAGUCAUUGGGACAGAGUCUCUUCAAAUGUUUGCACACGGGACAGGAAGGAAAAGCAUCCCGGCUCCUGUUUUCGUCUCCCUCUGUUGUGCAAAUACAUUUUCGUUACACAGACAAGCAGGCAUGCUGACUCACAAACCAUGCAGAGAGUUCAAAGUCGGUGCAAGCAGGUAUUUAAAAAAACAAACAAACAAAAGAAGCGGUCUACAAAACAACUUCCGAAAGCCAAAUCAAUCAAAUGGAAUGUUUUUGUUAGAUGUGGAAAAAAGAACAACGUACAUUUUACAAGUUCGUAAAAAGACAACUUAGAAUACGUGUGAUGGUUGUCACUAGGUGUUAGUAGACAGAUAUGGGGGGGGGGGCCAAAAAUAGAGCAAUACACACCAAUAAUAGAUAUUUACCCCCCCAAAAGUAACUUGCACCACUUGUUGAAAUCAAAGAAGAGAACCUCUUCCGACACAGGUAGUGUAAACACAUUGUCUUGCAAUACGUCGAUUAGCGCCGUUUUCAUGCCUUCCUGAUUCAAAACCAAUCAUCCUUUCUAAAAACAACAACAGCAACAACAACAAAAAAAGCAGCUCGCUACAUAAAACGGCCUUUGGACCCGCUUGCGGCGGGGUCACGGGCGUGUCGCCAACGCAAGGUAAGUAAGUGCACGUCGUCCGAGGUUUACCGCUCAGGCAACAAAGUGAUUGACUCCGCCAGGAGAAGCGGGUCGCGGUGCCGCGUGAUGACGUUCUAUCUAGCCAAACAGUGCAGUCGAUGAGGAGCUCAAUAUGCUGCUUCUUGGUUGUAGGGAUGUCCGAUAAUAUCGGCAUAAAAAUGUAAUAUCGGGCAAGAUCAGUGUGGGGAUUUUUCCCAACAAUGAGAGCCGAUAAUGAACGUAAUGCUGUAGUUUACGUACAGUAGGCAUGUGGGCUCCCGUGUGUGCAAAACAUGACGUCAUGUAAACAAACGUGGGUGGCUAGUAGCCAGCUAGCUCGCUCCUUCCAUUCCACUUAUCCAUUUUCGAUGUUGCCUGUCCUCACUAGUAGGAAUGUUCCAAUCCCUGGAAGCAAGCGAGGGUAAAAUGUGACAUGAUUAGGAGUGAAAAUGCCGCUUCUUCAUAUGAUGUGGGGUGUAUCUUCAUGACUUCUUACUCUUCAAUUUCGCAUUGAAUUUACACCGUUGGACCACCUCGACUCAAUCGACGGCCUUCAGACUUGCGGAUGGGAGCUCCAGGACACGAUGAAAGCGUGGCGUGGAAACCCAUACAGCGUGCUGCUGCACGGCGGCGGGGCUACGCGGUGGUCCGGUCACUCCCCGGUCACCCCCCUGGCCAUCUAGACAUUUCAGGUAUCAGCUUAUUGGCACCCCCACGUGAGUAACGGUCUCACCUCGGCCACCCCAAUGAAGAUGUUGUGACUCCGCGCCUGCUGCUGCGCUAAGAGCGCUCGGCCUACAUGGAAUUUCUGACACUUGAUUUUCUUCCCUGGUGAAAGAUGAUGAAAGAAAGGGUCAAUGUUGACUUUUAAAACAAACGUCCCAGCCUAAGUAUUGUCGUGUGUUGUUUUCAGCUAACAGCUGGUGGUGUGCCCAUGUCUUACCGUAUCGCUGUUGGCUGAUAUCGGUGUCGGAAAUUGAGAGUUGGACAAUAUGGGCAAAAAAAGCCAAUAUUGGACAUCCCUAGUUGUUUUGUUUUGUUUUGUGUUUUUAAACACCAUCCCGUGUUGCGUUGACAAUAUCAUAGCUGUCAUCAAUUAAGAGUACAUUUAUAAAGUUCCAUACACAAAUCUGCUAUAAACACUACGUUAUAAAUACACAAUCCAUGACAACGCGAGCGGCCUGGCGAGCCGUACAAAGAAAGAAAGUAAAGUUUGAUAAAUACAAGAACGGUGCGACGGCAGCCCUAUCACUAUCCAGAAAACGGAUAAAAAAACAGCAUAGGUCAAUGGAAAAAAUGAAAAAAACAAAAAUCGAAAUGAAGAGGCCGUGGCGCCCCACAAAAUAUACUCCACUGUAUGUACAAGACUGGAUGUUGAGGAGCAAGCGGGUCGUUGCCAGGACAGCACGGUCAGGACGGUCAGCUCAGGAGACUCCAUUCAAAUGUGCCGUAAAAACGUGAUUCAUGCUUUGGCUUUCCGUCGCUGAACAUUCCAAACGCCCCGCCUCUCCUUUCCCACGCUCGCCACGCAGUCGUCUGUUAAAGGGAAGCUACAUGUUCAUCCACCACCGACGCUGGCAACCACCUGACAAAGCGGAAAAAUAGAUCAAUCCAAACCAGUCCCAUGAGGACCGGCGUGGCCCCCUCCCGAGUAAACAUGCUGAAAGAUUGUUUGCUGUGUUGUCCCUCCUCCCCAAAGAAGAGGAAAUCUUAAGGCGAACUUUUCCUGAACAAUCGUGAAAUCCAGCGGACCCUCACCAAGGCACUCCUCUCAGAACCUCUGACGAAAUCUUUGCAAGAGCCGACCCGGGCCGACCAAAAGUCCACAGUGAACGCGUGUUGAAGAGCCGCCGGUCGGGGUGUUCGCUGCCCCUGGCGUCGGGUUGUCGGGCAGCUUGCGUAAAGCACCGUUAUGUUUCCACUCAGCUCGUCACGGUGAGAGCUGAACCACCCCCCCACCCCCCAGACAACUGCAGCCACUGCAGGGCAACAUUGGGGGGCAAAGACUGGCAGAAAAUUUUAAAAAAAAGUCUCCUCAACAAUGUUUUUGUUUUCCUUUUCCGGCCCUCUUGUCUCCUGAUUGGCUCCCUACUCUUGAGGCUGAGCCCGCCCCCACUCCCCCCGCCAAGCGAGGUGUAAAUGAAGGGAUCAGUCGAGACUCUUUGCAGCUCAGAGAGGUCUUCUCCAGAGAGGUCAAUGCUAACAGUGUGACACCGUUGUGUUUCCCGCCGGUUACAGUGGUUCCUCCUCUUCCAUUGGUUCCUCCUCUUGUCUGAUGGGGGGGGGGAGAAAUACACAUAUUUAAAAAAACAUCUUACAGUCAUCCCAAAUGUUGCGGCAAAUGUUGCGGCUUCACUAUCACGGUUUUCUCAACCCCCCCAGUAGGCCCACAGAUAUCAGAACAUUGUGCUCUGUGGUGAUAUCAACAUGGAACCCACCACAAGAAACAGACUCCCGUCUUUCAUCAGGAAAAAAGAGUUUGUUCCUACCUUUUUCCGUUCUUUAGUAAUCAGCAGUAGAACACAGGUAAGUUUCAGGGAAAUAUCAGUUCCUGGCUAAAACACAUUUGGUACCAAACUGUGUGUGCGCACCCAUUAAAAUGUCCCUACAAUGCGUAACCUGCACACUCUUCCUCUUCCUCCUUGCUGUCGGGCUCGUUAAUGCGUGCGAAAGACGCACGCCUGCCACCUUGUGGCCGUUUUCAUGGUGUAAAACGUUUUUAACAGCGAGAUAUGGUGAAAGUUUCUCCGAAGUUUCCCCGUUCAUCUUUCACCUCGUUGUUGUUCCCAAGUGCCGGUGCUAGCGUAAAAGAACAUGUGAACUGAACGGAAAUCGAAACUGAAACCAGCGAAAUGCAACAAAAUGGAGGUCAGUGAAGCAUGUGAGCGGAUUCAAGAGUCAAACUGCAUGGUGAGUACCACAAAUUGGUACAUGUUGGAAGGUCUGCACUAAUAUUCAAAGUCCUGCCUGCCUCACACAGUUCACACUGCCUCCCCUCAUCCCAAGGGGGGCCCGCCCCACUAUUUGAGAAGUAAUGCUGGGUGAGACACACAAGCACCAGACUUAUUUUCUCUUAUUAUGUCUACUAUAUUGGGUAAUAGGAACGUAAAGAUGACUAUAGGGGUGUUAAUUUAUGUCUAGAGGGCUCUAAUCUUGUUAAAAACAGCAUUUAGAAGGUUGUAAACAGGUUUUCUAUAUUCUACAUUCCAUUUAUCAACAAGGAAUCCUAGUUAGUGGAAUCAAUUAACAGCGAUAAACAAGGUGUUCCUGAUCACGUGCGUCACCUGUGAUCCAUUGCGCCCGUGUUGGCCACGGACAGAGAGGCCAUGGCGCUGACGGCCUCCGCUUCCUCCGAGUCCCCGCGCUUGGCCUCUGAGUGGGAGAGGCCCAGCAGUGGCGAGUGGCGAUGCGCUGAGCUCCAGUACUUACCUGACAAGAGGUUGCGGAGUCGAGAUGAGAAAGAAGACACAAAGAAUGACGACAACUUACAGUGAGUCUCCAGAACUUUCUCCAGAGAGCGAACGGCGUUGGGGUUGGGUCUUUGCGCCAGGACGGCCGUGGGCAGCGGAUCUAACUGCACACACACACAAGAUGUGAACACAUUUAUAUGGCACACGGCCAAACAGCUCAAACAAAGCAUCCACACGUUGGCCACUUGGUCUCUGUGAAGAAUGGACGGUGGUUCUUUUGGAGUCGGGACACUAUGGACAGAUUCCAAAUCCUUGAAUCAUCUUUAUUAUGUGUGUGUGGGUGGCUUGUUUGCUCAUAGACUGAAGACAGAAUGAUGAACGACUCUGUAUCUGUCUCCUUGCUGCUUUUCAGCACCGCUGCUGCACCCUGGUGAGGCAUUCCUAGCUAACACCAGUUGCGGAGGGAACGGUUUAAGGGAGACACAUAACAGAACGUUUGUCCAGUGAUGACUUGAGGUUUAUUAUAAAGUGUACAGCUCUAACCGGCCACGCUUGCGAGGGACUAGAAUGUCACACUUUAUGUACUUUGCAUGGAAAACUACAACUAUUCUCCAUAAAACGUGUUUUGGUUCAUAACAUCUGUGGGUGUCUACAACAGAUGUUACGUUAUUUGCUGUGGGGAAACAUUGAUUUGGUUUUUGUCUGAUCUUUUGGGUCGGGCUACUGACAAAAUCCCAGGUUCUGCUUCACGUGCAGUACUCACAACAGACUGCAUUCCCACACGCGCCACUAGGGGGCAAGAGUGCCAUCUCAUUCCAGCCUCUUGGGUGAGCAAAUGAAGCGCUCCAUCAGUGCUGCACAGCUGUUAACAAUAAACUCAUUCCCUUUGGGUGGGAAAGCAUAGUUGAUUCUACUUUAGUUUGUUUUUGGAAGAGACGUCAAUUCAUGCUUCAUUUUUGUGUUAUAAUCAACGACUUCAGGAAUAAACAAAAGGCCACAAAAGGGCCUUGGUACACGUUUGGUCCAAAGAAACAUCUGAACCUAAAUGCCUUCUCAGAUGAAGUCAUGAGGGCCAACAGGCUGGUGUUUACAUUCAGACGCUCACCUCCUGUCCCAGCAGCACAGCCACACACGCCUCGGAGGCAUCGCAGAUGGCCGUCAGGUCAUGACCCCCCUCCAGAGCCAGGACCAACCUGCCUCCCGCCAGGCUCAUCAGCUGGCGGGUCAGGUAGCCCAAACCUUGUGGACAGAGAGCCAACUUCCGUAAGCCGACCAACGCACAGCACAGUCUUGUACUCACAUUUGGACGUCAGGGCGUAGCCUCCCAGCGGCGGAGGGUGUCCUUCCACGGCAUCGAAGCCUGAGGACACGAGCACGAUGUCUGGCGCAAACUCGUUGGCGAUCGGCAUCACCACUGAUCUAAGGAAAGGAGCGGGGUGGGGAGGAGAUUAUUUCAACAUUGAGAAAGCGUUAUUUUGCCAGCGUCAUCUACUACCUGAAGGCAGCCAGGUACUCGGCAUCUCCCAUAGGGGGGUCCAGUCCUCCCGUAAAGGCCACAUUGACGUUGAACCCCACUCCAAGACCACUUCCCACCUGCAGGUGAGACACUUAUCCAACUCAAGAACAGCCUUCACUGUCAUCAGAAUGUAAAAAUAAAACAUCUGCUUACCUCCUCAGGUGCGCCGCUACCCGGGAAGAAAUUGCCGUCGUCAUAGCGAUGAAUAGACAGGUAAAGAACAUUGGGGUCGUCGUAGAAGGCUUGCUGGGUGCCGUUGCCGUGGUGGACAUCCUAAAUGACAGGGAACGAGCACUUUAGGGCAGGCGACAAAUAUCCUCUAAAAAAUAAACCAACGCUGGUGUGAUUACCCAAUCAACAAUGAGGAUCCUGCUGAUGUUGAGUCUCUGCUGCAGCAGUUUGGCAGCGAUGGCGACAGAGUUGAAGUAGCAGAAGCCCCUGGAAGGCAACGGUCAGAGAUUCACUAACACCCUCCAUAUUCACCCCACAGGAAAGGUAGAGGGAGUCUGAAUAAACGCAAGUGUUUAUGUGUGCUGACGGCUGUGUCCUUACAUGGGGGUGCUUUCCUCUGCGUGGUGUCCAGGAGGUCGCACCACAGCAAAACCAUUCUGGGGAGACGGACAAACAAUCCAUCAGCCGCACAGGUGGAAGUGUCCUGACUCGAUGGUAGGAAGCACAUUUACACUGGUGUGGAAACGUGUUGGCCCCCUCCCUGAUUCCUUACGUUUGUCACUUUCAAAUGUUUCAGAUCACACGUUUAUAGCAGCUAAUAAUAAUAAGAGAGCGUAUCAACAGUCCAUCGUAGGGUUCAAUACAACCUGGGCAGGAGCCUGGUUGGCAUUGCCAGCAGGAAGUCCAGCCUGUUUCUGAUGAACGUUGGCCCCCCCAAGGCCGCCCUUUGUCACCCGCUCUGUUCAUCAUUUUCAUGGACACAAUUUCUAGUCCAGUUCGGGGGCCUUAGGAUCUGGUCUCUGCUAUCCUCAGACAAUGUGGUCCUGAUGGCCUCAUGGGGCUGUGACCUUCAGCGUUUACUGGGGGGGUUUGCAUGUGAGUGUGAAGCUUCUGGGAUGAGACUCAGCACCUCCAAAUCCAAGGCCAUGGUUCUCAGUGGGAAAACUCCUCAGUGAGUUUCCUCCAAGGGUGGCUCAACUGGGGGAUGGUAAAUCGGGAGCUUUGCCUUCAAGCUCACCUUCCCUCCAGACGCCUCCACCUGGGGCAGGACCUGUUCCAACUGAUCCUAGAGCUUAGCCCGCCUCCUUUUAAAAUAGUGGAACAAAUGUUUUUGGACGCUAUAAACUGCAGGGGACCAAAACUGCCUUUCAAAAAAGUCCAGGGGUCAUGUCCUUGUCCCCCCUGCCCUCCCCCGUGGUAGAGGCAGGUUGCCACGCUCACGUUACCUUCAGUUCUCCGGUGGCCACUUUGAAGACGAGCUCCACGACAGAGCCCACGGCGAGGCGAGCUGCACUGGAGGAGUGGACUUCAUUCCAGAUAGUGUCACUGUCCACCUAACACACACACACACACACACACACACACACACUUUUUUAACUGUGUUGCUUUUCAAGCAUGUUUGACACUGCAGCACUUACCCCCACACCACCACAUGGUAGCCGGACAAACAUGGGAGUGAUUGAACCUGGCGACCGAGAAAACAAGGUUAGGUGGAGUAAACGAGCACCCUAGCCACCCUGCGUGUGUGUGUGUGUAUGUGCGUGUGUGUGUGUGUGUGUUAGUGUGUGUAUGUUGACUUACAAUCAAGCUUCUGUCGGAGAGGGUUGGUUCCAUACAGCAAGACGUGGGCUUCAGAGUGAACAGUCUGCAGUUCCUCCAGAGUGGCCUUCCUCCCGCGGAUGCACUGUACACAUGUACACACACACACACACACACACACACACACACAUUUAAGUGUGUGCCUUUACAGCUUGGAGUGAAAACAAAAUGUUGAGACCCUACCUCGCACUGUGCCCUGAGUCCAGUCUCCUGCAAGCGGGACCAAAUGCUCUGGAUGCGUCCCGCAUGUUCUGGGUGACUGUUGGUGUUGCCACACAUGCACUGGUGCUUCUGCAUGAGGGAAUCAUACACCAGGCCUGGGGGGAACACACACACACACACACACACACACACACACACACACACACACACACACACACACACACACACACACCUUCAUUGGCUUCCAUUCCUUCUAGGUAGAGAUGACUUCCAGUAGGAACUGGCGGGUCUGACCAGUGGUGAAGCGUGGCUUGACAGGUGGAUCAGUGGGUGGGACACUGAUGGAAAAUGAGGAGGCUGAAGCCGGAGACGACUGGGCCCGGGAAAGAGGGCGGUGUCCCGGGAAGGAGAUGGACAGGCCGGCAGCUUCCAUGGAAGCCUGAUAGUUCCUCAGCUGGUGAAUGCGUUGCUGCUCCAACAACAGGGCCUGCUGCUCACAGGUACAACAUGAACACACGCAGCAAUCAGUGGUCAUGGUGGCCUCCCCAAGCAUGCAGCAAGCUACGUGGAGGGACGCUUCCAUCACUUCCCAUCAGCCAUGAUCCAUUCAUUUGGCUAUUUCUUUAUGAUGGCCAGGGCCGCCGUUGGACUGUUCCAUGGGGCGGGUAGGUUGGCUUUUUUGUCUUUAUUGUUGUCAAACAAUUUUUGUGCUAUUUGACACAAACCUGAAUUUAAUCUGACACAUGUUUUGGAGUCAUACGAAUACACAAGAAAUCAAAUGUUCAACAGUUUCUUCUUCAAUUCACGAUAACAAAAUCAGAUGGUACCAAUAGAUAUCUUCAUGAAAUACAAACCUGUCCUGCUCACCUCGGAACAGAAUAAAUUGAGCCUCCAGAGGUUUGAUCACCAUCAGAGCAGUCAGCUGUGGGUGUGUUAUUUAGUUGUGCACUACUUGAUUUACCAAGCACAUCUCUAUGCUAUCUUGGCUCAAUUCAACAGUUCAACUUUAUUCUUUGACCCUUAAAGCUACUCAACAUCAUCUGGUGAGCCAGGAGACCCCACCCAGCCCUCCAUAUCACCACCACAAGGCUCCAUGUUCAUGAAACAAAUAGCGUUUGGAGGACAAGACAUCAUUAGCAUCAUGGCAAGACAGUAAAGUUGCUCAGUGACACUUGAAAAAGUUAGUACGUACGUGUUUAAACCAUGAAUUACCAGGUGGUGCAACACCCUCCCUACCUGACGACUCCAUUUCAAGGGUUAAACCUCCCAUGUUGAGGGACGGGUGCGAGGGGAACUCAUUCGGGUUUUCACAGUCCGCGCAACCAGAGUAACACCGGACCCUCUACUUUAUGACGCCUCCCCCUCUAAACGGUCACUUGCUAUUGGAAAGGACCUAGGAUUAUUUACUCAGAUGGCCUUGUCUUAAUGUACGAUAAUACCGCAACUACACAGUCUUUUAUAUCACAGAAGAUACUGGUACUUGCUUACAGAGUAGAAGGGUUUAUUAGGCUAGUUGGUGAGGGCAUUAAGCAGGUAAACAUAUCAAGUAGGGAUAAAACGCCUCGAUGAGCUCCACUCCCGUAUAUCUAGAUGGAAAGAAGCGUGAUACCGCAGUCCUGCCCCGAUGUUUGGUAUGUUUUAUGGAAAGGAACCUACAUAAACACCUACUCACAUUUUGAUAAAGAUAGUAAAGAUAUCCAUUUUCUGUAUUUUAACAGAAGGCAGAUCUUUUGGCACUUGGUCAUUUUAAAAGUAGCUCGCAGCCUGAAAAAGUGAGCACCGCGGGCGUGGCCGAUGUCAAGCUGAUGCCUUUGGGCUUUUAGACGAGAUUUAGACGUGAUUCUGGCAGCAACACGGGACAAAGUGCGUCCAUUGUCUGCUCAACAUGGGUGUUGGCAACCCUCCGUGACACAGCACACACGCUUCAAAAGGCGUUCAUCAGCAUACACUAGCGGUCAAAAGUUUUAGAACACUCCAAUUUCCUUGGCGGAAAACGCUCCAUUUGAAGCGUUAAGAUCAUGUGUCUUUCUUCCAUUGUUAAUUCCCUUUUCUUCUUCUUGCCAUUUUUGUAGCAACAAAUGACUUUGUGCUGUCCAACUGAUGCUCAGGAGGGUACAGCACCCCAGUGUGUUUGUAUGCAGACAGAGGAGGUAGUAAGUACUCCUGAUCAACCUCCAUUUCUGCACAACAGCAUGAAAUUGUUGACCCAUGUUGUGCUCCCUGAAACACUAUCACUCUCAAACACACAUCAUUUUCCACCUCUGGCUACCUUUCGUAUCCUCUGCCAUUCACCACGUAGCUGUGGGCCAUUUCAAGCUGUUUGAAAAUGUCUGACCGGUAGGGUGUGCCGAUGCUGUGGUUUUCAUGUGGUUACUUCCCACACCCAUCCAUACCUGUCUAAAGAGAAGUUCCUGCUCCGCCUGCCUCUCCCGCUCCCGGUACUGCUGUAGCACCUCCUCCUCCAGCUCUUGCGGGUCGGGGGGCUCCUGCUUAAUGGUGACCCCCGGUGGUAAAGCACCGACAUCUUGGUGCUCUCUCAGCUCCUCCUCCGUUUCCUCGGGGUGGCUCUGGUGCUGUCGGCCCACGGGUGACGAGUCACUGGGCUUGGCUAUCAUCUGCAGGGACACGAGACAACAUCGGGUUCUAGCAAGCACAGUGAUGUCGCUCUCAUCUCAGGCAUCUAAUGAAAUGCUACUGGCCACUCGGCCGACCGUCUUCCUGAGUAUAAAGAAAUUGGCUCCAGGUGUGCAAAAAGCCUUUGAGACGUCAGAGACCACCACCAGUACGCCUGUCAAACCACAUCCUGGUCUUCACGUGCGCAGCAUCCACACGUCCCCUGCCAGCGGGUACUCCAACAGGUGCGGCCAUCGGAGCGACUUCCACUCGCCCCCAGCUCGGCCAUAAAAGGCAAGCACUUCCGCUCUGUUGCCACGGCAGCCAACCGUUACCUUGCAACCCAUAGCAACUCACCGUACGCGUAUGGACGCGGACCGCUGACGCACACGCAACACGUGCUCAGCUCUGUGUGUGAGCCCAAAUCUGCCACCACCUACUCAUCGGCAAAAAAAAAAAAAAAAAAGGCGAAGAAAAGUGAAAACGAAGGACUUUGCGCACACACACACACACACACACACACGCACGCACCCACAGGCGGCCACCUACACAAACAAUAUGGUGUCUUCUAGCUGUAAUUGACUAUCCUUGUGAUUAUUUCACAUGAUUUCUUUGCAAUGGGACGUCUAGAGUGCAGCCAUUGAUGCACCAAGCAGGAAACAACCUUUGUUACCUCACUCUACCUAAAAAGUACAAAAACAGCAACCAUACAACCUCU